AACCGGUUCUCGUACAGAAGUUAAGCAACAUCAAGCCUGGUCUGUACCUAGAUGGGUGACCGCUUGGGAAUACCAGGUGCUGUAAG